GCCUGGGUGGCUCAGUCGGUUGAGCGUCUGACUUCGGCUCAGGUCAUGAUCUCACGUGAGUUCGAGGCCCGCGUCGGGCU
rnacentral:tRNA from 1 species